CCCCUCAUGCGGACUUGAUGCACCUCUCUGCAGAGGCGGGCCAGGCCGCACCAAAUCCAGAGGCCCACCGCUCAAAAAAGACCGGGUCAAGGUGAGAAUAGGCCCCUCCAUGGCCCAUCCACCUCCGCCCAGACCAGGCUAAUUCAGCAAAUGAAGAGGACGAGGAAUAUAUGCUUGACGGUCUUGGUGUGGAAGAUGAAAUUGAAGCAAGCAAUAGUGGAAAAGAUGGUGAUGAUCAAGACAUGGAUGCUCAUGCUCAUGAUAAUGAUGAGUUGGAUGAUGGUUAUUGAUCCUAGAUGCAAGUUCUAACUUGCAUGUUGCAUAGACUUGUGUGGUUGAACAUGAUCCAUUUACUUUUAUGCCAUUUGUUUGGUGAACGUGAACUUGUAACACCCUGAAUUAGGGGUAUAAAAUUUCUCCUCUAAUACCCACCAAAUUCAGGCGUUACCUCUUUUCUUCUCUAUAGAUCUCUUUCUCUUCUAUUUAGUAGAGGUUUGAGUAUUUAUUUUGGAGGUGUAUUAAUGCUCUAGGAAAGUAAAACCCUAAAGGGAUGUGGAAUGUUGCAUCAUGCUGCCUAAAACUUUGUUUUUGAUCGAUGCACAUGUUUGAAAUAUCCAAAUUUGUAUUUGUGGUUUGUUUAGUUUUGAAUUCAAAAGAAGAAAAUAAAAGAAAAAGGAUUAGAAAUUCAGGAAUAAAAAGAAAAGGAAAAGAAAAGAAGCCCGGAACCCCUCCCUCCUCGGCCUUUUUGGCCCAUCCGGCCCACAGAGCCCGCGUUCGCCUCCCCUCCCGCUCUCACUGCCUAGCGGGCCAGGCAUGUCGGCGCCUCCGCUUUACCCCGGCGCGCGCCCUCCUCUCUGCGUGCGGCCCCCUCUUGCCAGUCGCGUUGCGCCCACGGCUCACGCCGCCUGUCAACGGCUCGCCCCGCGUCUCGGCCCGAACCGUUACCUCCGCGCGACGCGCUCGCCCACGUCGCGCCAGGCCCAC
rnacentral:misc_RNA from 1 species